rnacentral:lncRNA from 1 species
UCAGUGGGGACAGGACAAGGGGAAACAGCCAUAAACUUGAGCAUAGAUGUUCCACACCAACAUGCGAAAGAUAUGUGACUUCUUCACAGUGAGGGUGACAGCACUGGAACAGUGCCCAGAGAGGUUGUGGAUGCCCCAUCCCUGGUGGUGCUUAAGGUCAGGUUGGGGCCCUAGGCAGCCUGGUCUAGUACUUGAUCUAGUGACUGGCAACCCUGAUUGCAGCAGGGAAAUUGGAACUUGAUGAUCCUUGAGGUCCCUUCAGACCCAAACCAUUCUAUGAUGAUUAUAUGAUUUCAUAGCCAUGUUCAGUUUUGUAGUCACCUGCAAGUUUUAACUUGCCACUUCAAUGGAAUAGACAGUUUUAAGACUGUCUGAUUAUUUAGAUAGAUACAGAUAUCUAAAACCUGAUUAUAGAUGCUCCACAAUGUAAUCCUGUGCCAAGAGACACAGCCAUGUCUACAGGCUUUGAAGGGUAAAAGGGUAGAUGUGUUAUGUUAUUAUGGAGUUAAUAACAUAAUAUGGAGACAUGGAGAUUCUUCUUUAUUUGAAGAAAGAAAGGAGUGGUCCCUCUAACUGAAAGAUGCACUGUAUCUUGGCCUGCAGCUGUUGUAGUGUAGCACUUCUGAAAAUACAGCUAUAAGCUUUGAAUGAGUCUUGGUAAUAGCUGUGGCGUGCAAAGAAAUUAAGUCCUUUCAUGAAAAGCUUUCUAUGUUAGUUUUUUACUUUUCCCAUGUUUUGUAACUAAGAAGCUGAAUGUUGUUUUCUACCUUCUGGUAAAAAUCCAUGCUGAAUAAUUGUGUUCUUAAUUCUCACCACUCUUCCUCCUCUCAGUAAAAGGUGUGCUGCUCUGCAUUGAGCUCUUCAGGUGCUAACAUCAGAAAUACAUCAAGUAUGACUUCUAGCACAGUACACAUGUGAAGUGAGUUGGAAUCAAAGGCAUCUAAAGAGUACCAACUAUUAUUUUUAACCAAAAAAUACCUUACAACCUGCCAAGUAUUCACCAAGACUGUUCAUCCCAAGGGAUUUCACAGCCCUCCAUGGUAAGGAAAGGAGCUGUAUUCUUUAGGUCACCCAGAGUGGAGAUUUGUUCUUCUCAACUAAAAUCACAGUACCAUAAAUAAACUGAUCACAGCUGUAAUUGGCCUCCCAGGCCAAUUCCCUUCAUUCUAUCCCUUUUAGCGUAGACACACAUGCAUUCAUAUAGCACUGGGAAGUAUUCAGAAACAAAGCAAUGAUGAGUGUCAGCAGGGACACUCCCUGGCUUCUUUCAGAGACCAUUGCAGUGAUAAAGGCUAGUCUUCUGUACCACACUAGUGAUGGUGUCAGGAGAUUAUGUUAACCUAUUCAGUAGUUCAUCUUCCCACAGACUUCCUGUAUAGAACUACAGAAUCACCAAGGUUGGAAAACACCUACAAGAUCAUCCAGUCCUACCAUCCUCCUAUCACCUGUAGUUCUCACUAAACCAUGUCCCUCAGCACAACAUCUAAACAUUCCUUGAACACCAAGGUCGGUGACUCCACCACCUCCCUGGGCAGCCCAUUCCAGUGCCUGAAUGACCUUAUUUGCAGGUUUUGUCCUUUACACUUUCUAUCCAGUCUGUAAAAUGGCACACAAAACUCACAGAGAUAAAUGACAAAAUUAAAUACACUGAAGACUUGAGAAGUGCUUUGAUCUUACACUAUCUUGGUUUCUAGAGUGCUUUGCAGAGGUGUAAAUAUGAAUCUAAUUUGGAAUUACACCAAUCAGUUCUUUUAGAAAAGAGGAACCCCAGUUUGGGACUCCUUUUUGUUAAAUACAUCUCCUGAAGGAGCUUGAAUCAGCCUCUAAUGUUUUUAUCUCUACAGAUAGUUGCAGGUAAACAGGAGUGCAAAGGACAUCCCAGCUCAGUGUCACUAUCUAAGCAAUAUGCUGGGAAUGUUUUCUACAGCACCCUACAGUGCAUAUCAAGUUAGUAAGUAAAAGAGAAUAGUCUGCUGUGUUAGUGUCACUCAGGAGUGUCCCUAUUUCCACUUGCCAAGAUUUAUGAACUUAACCUGGAAGCAACAGUAACAGAUGGAAGCUUGUUUCCUACCAGGAAUGUUGUUAAGAAUAUCGUUAUAGAAGCAAGAUACAACGCCGGUAGGGUCACGAUAAAAAUAAUGCCAAGUUAUCUAGUCUAAUCCCUUGUCAAAUUCCGUAUGUCCUUCAGGCAAUGCAUGUGUAGAUAAGAUGUUAAUUGGUCAGGGAAUGUGCUGGAUAAGUUACAACGGUUAUUGCUAUUGAAGAUAUGCUUAUCAUCCACAGCUCAGUAACACGCUGUCUGGCACUCACUGGUGUCAAGUGUUUUACAUGUGUUACUGGGGACAGCAGCUACAUAAUCUGCUAGAUGUAAAUACUAAAGACCAAUGAUUGUCUGCACGUUUUCUCUGUAGAAGUAUACCUGCCUCCUGCCAGGACUGCAUUAAAAGCUCAGUAUUCACCUUUUCUAGCACUGGGGCCAUGAUUUUUACAGUAUAUCUUAAAAAUACAGUUCAUAAAACAAAAUCCAUCAGAUUCAGGAAUAUUCUGGAAUUCUAUAAAUCUGUAAUCUUCUUUUUUGAUGGUUCAAGUAACAUACACCCAAAGAUUGUCUCUUGUUAAUACUUCUGCAGCAAACAUUCAAGCUGUGCUCUUGUCCCAGCAGCAGAAAUCCAACAGUGGUAGUUAUCACCAUAACUUUGUGUGUACAAUCAGUGCACAGUAGGAUAAGUUUUGCACUAAUAUGUCUGAUGUAUUCCAGACAUAUGUCAGAGGCUGUUCCAAGGUAAGCUGCUAGAGGCAGCUCUAAAAUAGCUCCAGACUAGGGGUAUUUGGUUAAAGCUCUGUCUUCUAGCUUAUUCCAGUGGCCACUGACACUCCAAAAUGUGCAUCAUCAUCUUGCUGUCUAGCAGACCCAGCUUAUUGUUGCCAUGUGCCUCUUAAACUGUCAAAUGUAAGUAAUCUUAGGCAGCUAGUGGUAGCCAUCCAAAUGACUAUAUAGGAAGCUGGGAAAGAGGAAUGUGAGAAAAGAGCUACUCAGAUUGCCUCAAAAUUCUGUGUGUCUUGGAAAACUCUGCCAGCUGAAGGUCUUGGCUGUGCUGGUGUUGUGCUUGGGAAGCUUGGAUAGCUGAAUUUAAACCACAGCCUUGGUUCUGUCCACAACUGAAGCAGAGUGAUGAUAAGAGGGAGAAGAAUUUGCCAAAUGGAACAAAGAAAAAAUUAAAUCCAAGUGACUGCGUACAGCUGGGUCUUUGAUGCAUAUAUUUAGCCAAGAAGUGAUUGAACGAUUUAUUUUUUCACUUUAUAAAAAUAUUCACAGAAUUUAUUACAAUAAAAAUGAUGUUUUUGACAUUCUGACUUAUACCAGGGAUCCUAGUGAGUGAAGUGUACCUGAGCACAUGAUACUAGGAUGCUCUGUAGGAUUGCUUGACAGUACUAAACUGUUGGGUUUGUGGUGCCCUGAGCUUUCAGUGUGAGUUUGGAUGGCCCUCUCUUUGCACCCCCUGAGUGCUAUGGAUCUCAACUGUUGCAGCAUUCAGGCUGUUUUAAGAUCUGGGAUUUUAUUGUUCUUUUCUAAAUAUUCAGGCCAGUCUUGGGCAUCAGAACUUAUCCUACUGUCCUUGACAUUUAUGGAGCAAUGUAUUUGCUAUGUUAAAUCAGAAAUAUCUACAUACAAAUACUGUUACCUGGGAGGAGGCAGAGCAUCUUCAUUCAUCAGCAAUAUAUUAUUUUGCUGUUGAUUCCUUUGCGACAGCCUACCCACGAUGGAAAAUUUCUUCUGGUGAGGUAUUUAAACACAGGGUUUUUUUUUUUUUUUUUUUUUUUUGUUGUUGUUGUUUUUUAAAUUUUUUUUAAAUGGAAUUUAACAGAGAUUGUGAUCCUGAAGGCCUGUAAACACUGUUGUGUGUAAUGAAACUUUGGCAAAGGCAGAUUAUACAAUUCUGGCACAGAGAAGCUCACAUCUAUAAAAGGCAAGAUCUGUCCUUUGUUUAUUCCCUAGUAAAUCAGUGGAGUAUGUCUCGGUAUUUUAGCUUCAGCUUAGCAUAUUUUAUUUUCCUUUCUCAUUUACAGGCCAGUGAAAAUUGACUGAUUUAACGACAUAGGGACUGUUCAUUAAAAAAAAAAAAAAGGCUGGAAAGGAAACAUUUUCUCAGCUGUAAACAGAAUGGGCAGCAUAGUACAUUUAUGGUGUGGUAUUAUAAGCUUCAGGUGCCACAAGAAAUCUAUAUGUGAUUUAUAUCCACCCUAGGAAGCAAUAAACUUGAAAUGGUAGUUAAACACAAGGGAAAAAUCAGGGUGCACAUACGUACGAGAACUUAUUGAUUUGGAUAAGAUAUCAUUGACAUCUAAUGUUACUGAAGAUUUCUCUUUGAGAACGGUACUGCACUGCAGCAAGGACAAAGCAUGCAACUUCAUUACCAUUUUAAAUCGGCACCACAGCUUUGAUGUGAACUUCUGUUAACCUUAUUUGUUGUGCUUUUGUUUGUAUUGUUGAGUAGUCCUGGGGCACAGAGACUAGAUUGGGUACCUUUUAGAUGAAAAUGAAGCUAUGGCCAGACCAUCAGCAGACAUUCAGUUCACACAGGAUCUAGAGGAAUUCUGAAAUAAAACCUCCUAAAGUGGCUUAUAGGACAAACUGUGUUGUUUAGUACCAAAAGAUUUGCCCUAUAAAUUUGCUACUUCUACAUACUUCCACUUGCUAAUAUGGAUACAGUUGGGCUUGCCUAUCAGUACAGACAUAGAUAUAAAUAUAUAUAUGUAUAUGUACAUAUAUAAAGAGCUCCUGUUUGUCACACUUUUACAUUUAUUGGGCUGGACAUCUAGCUAGCAUAAAGCCAAAUGCAGUGUCAUUGAAACUGGCUAUUAUAAUCUAUCCUAAAUCCUACCGUAGUAUUACAGCCAGCUAAGUUUGCCAGGUACUGCCCACUGUUCUUUAAAAUACAAGCUCAGCAAGCCUAAGGGUAGAUGAUUGAAGUUGUUCUGACUAGCAGGAUUCCCAUUCCCAUAGCUGAGGAACCCUAAAUUCAAAGCAGGUCUGAUUACCUCUUUGCCCUUCACCUUGAUAUGACCAGCAGAUUUUCUAUAUGACAAUGUUUUUGUAUGAAAUGUUCCUUCAAACUCUCAUAAAAAUACCCAUUAAAUGGAUUAACUGCAUGCAAAAACAAAUGCCAAGAUUAAACCCUGUCAAAUCAAUACCAGAUGAGCCUUCAGAAUGAAUAAAAUAAUUCCCAGAUUAAAGGAUAUAUUAAAAAUGAAGCCUAUUAAAUGGGAUGCUAAAAAUAGAUGAAUUAAUAUUUAUUAUUAGUGCCUAGUUACCUAAACAAGAGCACCUUUGCUGUCCUUUAAAAUGGAAAUUAAAAUUGGAAAAGGGAAUGUGGGAAGUAAUGAAACUGCAAUUUAUAGGUGUAUUUAAUGUCAAGACACCACAGUCUUGAUUUACUUGGUGUUUUCCUCAACUGUUGGUUUCAGACAUAUCUGUUUAAGUCCAGAUAUAAUCUGUUCAGCUUGGCUGGAAACUAGUUUCAUUGCUGAAAGAAACUUGCUUUGAUAUUCAUAGAUUUUCCACUCAGAUGACUGUGAAGAAUUACUUUCAAAGAAUAAUUUUGGACAGGAAGAGAAAGCAAAGGUUCAAAAUGAAAAUUUCCAUCAUAUUAAUUUGUCACAGUUUUGUCUUGUCCUGUCAUUGUCGAGGAUUAGAUUUCAAAUACUCCCAAAUGAGAAGGGUAACGUAAGACUGUGUUCACUCACACUUCCUUAUUCAGCUUGAGGGAGCAGCUGGAACCUCGUCCCCAGUGAGAAAUCCCAAGUAUGGCAAUGAAAUAGCAUCUGCCAAGACUGACUGCAGCUGUGAGCUCAGUAUGAUGCUUUUGCCUCUCUUCAGAAGCUGUCUGCCAAGACCUGUCACUUGCACUGGUAUACUACAGGCGAGACAGAGUACUGUGAGACUCUUGGUUGUCUCAUUAACACUGAAUUCUAUCAAAUAAUUUUAUUCUCCUAUUGUACACAUUUGCCAUUUGUUUUGAUGAUUGUAUGAAUUGCCAUUUGUGGUAGCCAUUUGAAUUGUGUGAAAAUAAACAUUGACUUGUGUAUGCUUUAAUGCAGGCAGGCAACACUUUAGCACUCAGAGAGGAGAGAAUGUACAGGUGCAACAAACGUCAACUGUUUAUAAACUUUAUUCACAACAGCAAUUGUUUAGAACUGACCUCCGUCAAUGCUCCAACUUCUGCACGUGCCCAUGUCACUUAUAAAGAACUGUGUCAUGCAGGAGCCUGAAGAAAUGUGAAAUCAUGAGCACCCUGGGUCUAAUUCUGAGUCAUUUACGCUAGCAUAUUUGGAAGUAAUUCAACCAAAGUCUGUGAAGUCAUCCUGGUAUGAAAUGCCUUGUAAGAUCAGAAUCAAGACUUUCAUGUUGCUAAGGCAUUUUAACUGUGAUCUGAAGGGAAGUAAAACAAAAGAAGCACAAAACUGCCACAAGCAAACAUCCCCAGACUUGGAUUUUUUCUUCUCUCUUGGGAAAUGAGCUUACUUCAAAUUUCAAUCAGUGCAUGCCAGCUUCUUAAUCAAAUGUUGGACCCCUCCUCUCCGCUUCAAGUUCCAAUCAAGAUAUUGUUUGCCUUCUCUGGAAUUUUGGCUAAUAGCUUAAAGAUCAAUCCACCAUCUACAAAUGAUUAUUGAGUAUGCAUAGGACUAUGCAGUUUGGGAAAAUGUGCUUACAGUUAUCUUGCUGGUCAUCUUUUCUGCAGUAUACAACUUGCAUCACAUUUCUACUUAUUGUUUCUCUUCUGCAGCAUACAAGAUCACUUACAGAACCUUUUGCUCAUUUUCAGCAAGCUUGUGCUGAAUUCCUUUAGUAAUGGUUGUUGCAUAUGCUGAGCAAUGGUUGCCCUUCUGGGUCCUCUUUGCUUGCUUUCUAUUUCCACCAUUUCAUCCAGUCUGCUUUGUUCGCUUUUUAUUCCUUCAGCUUCAUUUUUCAUGCCUUUCAAUUGGCCCGGUUAGUAUUUCCAGCUGUGCUAGUUGUAUCUCACCCUAUCCACAGUUUUAUCUGGUCUUGUUUCCAGAUUCCAUGACAGUCCUGUAGUACAUACCUCCAAACCCUACCUUAUAUGAUUCUGAGUUUUUAUAUAGAUAUGUUCUCCACUUGAGUCCCCUAAAGCUUUACUUAUAUGGCCACAGUAUAAAUAUAUGUUUCAUAGAAUCAUGGAAUGACCUUUAAGAUCACCUGGUUCAGAUCCCCCUGCUAUAGGCAGGGACACCUCCUUCUAGACCAGUUUGCUCCAAACCCCAUCCAGCCUGGCCUUGAAUGCUUCCAGGCAGGGAGUAAACAGCCUCGCUGUGCAAUGUGUUCCAGUGUCCCACCAACCUCACAGUAAAGAAUUUCUUCAAAAUAUCUAGUUUAAAUCUACCCUCUUCCAGUUUAAAACCAUUUCCCCUCCUCCUGUCACUAAGUACCCUUGUAAAAAGUCUCUCCUCAGCUUUCCUAUAGGCCCCUUUUCAGGUACUAGAAGGCUGCUAUAAGGUCUCUUCGGAGUCUUCUCCAGCUUGAAGAGCCCCAACUCUCUUAGCCUGUCCUGGCAGGGGAGGUGCUCCUGCCCUCUGAUCAUUUUCAGGACCCUCCUUUGGACCUGCUCCAACAACUCCAUGUCCUUAUUGUGCUGGGGGCUUCAGAACUGGAUGCAGUACUCCAGGUGGGGUCUCACAAGAGCAGAGCAGAGGGACAGAAUCACCUCCUUCAACCUGCUGGUCAUGCUUCUCUUGAUGCAACCCAGCAUAUCAUUGGCAUUCUAGGCUGCAAGCGCACAUUGCCUGCUCAUGACUCUUUCAUCAACUGACACUCCCAAAUCCUUCUCCUCAGGGCUGCUUUCAAGCUAUUCUCCACCCAUCCUGUAACUGUGCAAUCAAUUGGGAUUGCCCCAGCCCAGAUGCACUUGGCUUUGUUGAACUUCAUGAGGUUGGCAUGGGCCCACCUUUGAAGCCUGUCCAGAUCCCUCUGGAUCACAUCCCUUCCACCUGGCAUGCCAACCACACCACUUAGCUUGGUGUCACCUGCAAACUUGCUGAGGGUGCACUCAAUCCCACUAUCUGUGUUGUCUAUAAAGAUAACACCAGUCCCAACACCAACCCCUGAGGAAUGCCACUCGUCACAGAACUCCACUUGGUCCCUCAGUAGCAAACCCCUUGGCCCUGCUCCCCACUACCUGCCCCAAGGCUGUAUCCCCAAACCACUCACCUCUGCUGCUGCAAAUGCACCUCACAGUGCCUAACUGCCUGAGCCAGGCAGAGCUGGGGAAGUGAUACUGAUGCUGUGUGGUAGACACCAAGAACGGCUGCCUGCAGCCCCACAGCACAACCUAACCAAGGUCUUAUUCAGGACUCCAUGUCUCAUAGGUGUGCUCAACUGGAGUCCAGACAUGAGUGAACGCUGGGCUCUGCCAGUGCCCAGAUUUCUGCAGCAAGGGUCGGUGAGAUCACAGUCAUCUCUCACUCAUGUCACAACCACAACCACCUGGUCAAUGAUCUCACAGUCCAUGGCUGUGUGUAUUCAGGCACCAGCCUGGGCCUCCACCAGUCUCCAUCAUUUGGUAAUUUUCCUUUCUAGAAAGAUUUGGGAAAAUAAAAAUUACUGUCCUGUCAGUGCCCUCCUUCUAAAAUCCUUUCACCUCACACUAAAAUUGAGAACACCUCCUAAGGCCCCUGUCCUUGACUACCACACCCCCAGAGUUCUGUAGUUCAAUAAUGUUCAGGUUUCCCCUAGCAGUAUAUUUUGCACCCAUGUAGUCUACGUGCAGGGAGAGCAGUUAGAGUGCCUGACUAGCUUCAGCAGUUCCUCCACAAUGUCUCUCUACGACAUGGAAUCAAAAUUCUUGCCAGGUUUCCAAUAGCCCUACAGGCUCCACAGGGAUCCGCUGUCUCCCAGACAAGUCAGGUCUUCAGGAUGGAAACUAUUUUAACUUUCAGUCUCACUGCAGGGUGCCUUCAAGCCACACAGCAAGGACCAUAAUCCAUAAUGCAAUCAGAUCGACUAUACUAACCAGUGUUUAGAGAAGAACCCUACUUCAUCUCUUUGGCUUAACUAGAACUACCAGCCAAAACUGAUGGGGAAAAGAAAACUCAGUAAAGCAGGACUUGCUCGAAGUCAGAACAUAAACAGAUGGAUUCAGAGUUGAAUCUCUGUGCAAGUUUCCAGACCACUAUCUCACAUCAUAGCCUAGAUGUAAACACAGAUGUAAUUCUCAACUAAGUAUUUUUAUUUUCUUUUACUUAGUUCAGUCCUACUUUUUAAACAACUCUUCCCUCAAUCAGGGUGACUACAUAGUUUGGAGGAAAAGCUAUCCACAAAUGUAUAGCAACCGAAAUUGUGGUAAUUUAACUCAAAUAAUUAAGACAUUUGUGAGUGGCAGAUGACCUCUCUGGAAACAGGCAAUAAAUUUUUCUGCAGGCUAAUCUCAGAGUGGGCUGGAAGCCAGAAAUGCUGCCUGUGUGUGCAUGUGUGGCUCAUUUCUUUGCCUUUCUCAGAGCAAAACAUCGGUACAAAAUGUCAGCUUUCUAAUUAAGCCCUAUUUUCAUGGGCUAUUAAACAACAAGAAAAAUAAAUAAACAAAUAAAUGAAGACCACCAGAAUAUAAACCACAAAAAUAUUUUGAAAUGGUAUUACCAAUUUAAACCAUAUUUCAGACCAAAAGAAAAAUGCUGUCAUGUUAACUUGCAUACCAAGCUUUCAGCAGAUACAAUUUAACUGCUAAGUUUUUAACCACUGUACAGCUAUAUUUAUAGGGGAAAUUGCAUUCGACCCUUUCAAGAGCUUCAGAUCCAUGCCACACUCAGUCCCAUGGUGCUAUGGAUAGACUUGAAACUGCAGAAAUGUUUUUUAAUUCUUUUAUUUAACUUAUGAAACCUCCACGGAUUCAGCAUGCUGGACUUAAGCCCAGAGUUUAAUAUUCAGUCUGUAAGCCUUACAGGGAGAGUUCUGGAAAAAGCUUCUGGCAUUGGCAGACUUUUUUUUUACCUGCCCAUAUUAGACCAAAGAAACACAAGCAAAAGUAUGACUCAGAUACUUUGAAAACUCCAGAGUGUAAGAAUGCUGGAUGUAUUCAACCCAGUAAGCGUAAAAAGAAGGAGAAAACCCUUCAAAUUUCCUAGGAUCCAGGUAUAAAUCAUAGAUGCAAAGUCUUGUCAGCAAAUUGAGGGGCUAACUUCAUUAAUGAGAGUAACAAGACUCCCUUCCUUAGUUAACGUCACCCUUCUAAGAUGCAACUUUAUAUUCCACAUCAACUGAAGUCAUGACCUCUUGCAAGUUGGAAGGUUAGCUGGUAAAUCUGAGGUGAUUUAAGGUCGGUGACAGACAGCCAUAAACAGACAGAGCCUGAUGUUUCUUUCCAAACAUUUCCUAGACUCCAACGGUAAAAUUCUAGCAAACAGAAUCUCUUCAGUGUUGUUAAUUAAAAUCAAAUUAUAGGAGAACAGUAACUUAUUUCAUAAGACCAGCAGAAAUAACCUUCUGCAGUGAUCUCAGUAAAGAAUAGCAGGCUAGAUACCAAAGCUGUCCUUUAGAAAGAGCUCUUAACACAUAAACCAUCCAAGUUUCAUUUCCUCAACCCGACUGCCAGGACCUAAGGAAGAGGCAAUAAAAUUUCUAGGACUUGGCAAAAAAUUAGAAGCAAUGGCUCAGCUUAUCCAUACUGCAGCAAAACCCAGUUUUAAUCCACAUCCAGAAGAAGCUACUUCAUAGAGUACUUUGGUCACACAAGUGAAGAUUUUCUAAGCUGAAGACAGGAUUUAUAUAGCCGAUUAAAGAUGUGAAACACUGAAAGCACUACUAAUUACUCUUCAUAAGUUCAGUCUAGGAGCAUACAGGGCAUGUACAGCCUGCAUGCAAGUACUUGACAGUGCAUCACACAACCAUUUUCUCUGCUUGCUCAGGAGCGCUUGUUCACAUUCUUGAGUGCCAUCUGCUGGCACCUCGUCUGUCCUCUCUGCUGUCUACCUAAGUGUGUUAUUCUCUCAGAGGCUGUUCAUUGUUUCACUAGUGAUUUUCAAAGAGAGAAGGCUAUCCAAGAGUUUCUAAAUAUCUAAGCUGACCCAUCUCUCCAUGCAAACUUUGGAUCAGAGGCUAUAAACAGCAAUGCUAUGGUGACGGUGAAGUAGACACAUACCACUGGUCUAUGGUUUGCAUGAAGCAUGAGUCUGAACAUACUGUUAUGCUGCUGUUUUGAGACUACUAAAGGAGAAAAAAAUGUAAGACUGACAGUCACUUAUCUCCUGCCUCACUUAAGAAACCUGUGAGGGUAUUGCUAUUUUCAUGUGAUACUUCAACAAUUUUUUUUUUUUUGAAGACACCAUGUCUUACUUCAGUCAGUACAUCAUGCAUGGGCACAUGUAGGACACAACUGUCUGUAACACUGUAUUUAAUCCUGGAAAAAAAUACUAUAUUUUGGUGCUAAAACCUACCCUAAAUUUGAAGAUUUUAUACUCUGUAAUUCUACAGAUACCAGAAAACACCUUCUCUUCUGCAUAUAUAUUGGUUUUUAUAAUUGCAUUGUACUAUACAAAAGGUUUAUUUUGCUGCUGGUCCAGACAUUACACAAGUCUUCAGCCAGAUUUGCUCUGUGGGCAACAGAUACUAUCAGGUGUAAUUUCACUGACUGUUGAAGUAACUCUGAGAAGCGCUCACUGUUCUUUCUAGGUUAAUCAACUAGACGAAUAUAACCCACAGUUUAAAAACCAGUCCACGCUGCUAGCAUAGUAGUGAGCUUGGUGUUUCUCCACAAGUGACUCCUUAAGAAUGUUAUAAUGUAACUUACCUCUCUCUUUACCACUGUAUGGGAACGGUUGAGUCCUGGCCUGAACCACUGAUGGAGCACCUGGAGAAAGGACCUGAUCAGCCUUGGGAGCACAGGUGAAGGCAGUUCAGCUGUGUGAUAGGAAGGAGUGGAACCUGGCUGCAUCUCUCUUAGAUCUCAUUGAAGGGCUGACUGCCACGGAGGAAGGCUCUCUGGUUGGAGAUUCUUCCCUUGUGGAGUUUUCCCUGUGAGCCUAAAUCUUCAGAGAUGGAAUUAACUUAAGCAUUUCUGGCCAUCUCCAUGAUGCUGUAAUCCUUGAGUCCCUCUAGCUACUUACAAAUUGUAUUCUGGAACGGAGCCUGAAAACUGAGGGAUCUUCCACAUUCAGAAACAAAGCAAUGGUUGAAAAAGUGGAACUGACAACAACUAUGAAGCAUAAAUUUCCAUAUCUUCCUUCUUUGACAUGCCUUGAGAGUUCUAAGAUACUUCAAGAGAUACUGUAUGUGGCAAACAGAAGUCUAAGCUACCUGCUAUUUGUUGCUAGUGCUGAUAACUCCAUCUUCUGACUGAAGUCCAGCGUGAGUAACCAAAACUUUCCUACUUAAAAUUUCUCUGCAUUUUCAGUUGGAUUUGUUUGUUACAUUCUGAGUUAAACUAUGCAGUUUAGCAAUUGUCAAAUGGCAAGGACCAACUCUUAAGCUCUGUUUAGGAAGAACUGUCUCUUGGAAAAAGGAGAGAAGGAAUGUUUAUUCCUAUAAAUGUAGUUUAUAGGGCUGUUCCAUAGAGCUCUUCAUAGAGUCCAGUACACAUGUUCACUGCAAUGAGAAGGAAAUACAGUGGGUUGCAGCUAGUUGAAAUUUGUUAUGUGAUCAAUUGCCAUGAGGAAACAACCCUAUUAGACUUAAGGUUUCAUCUCGAUUUGUCUUACAGCAGUUUUACUUUGUCCUGAGCUCCUCAUACGUGAAUAUUGUACUAUUGAGUCCUUACAAAGAAAAGAGGCUUAUUUAUUGCAUCAAAAACAAGUAUGAGAUAAAGGAGAAUGGAUAUUUUUCAAUAUUACAUGAUUUUUUUUUUUCUGUGUCUGACUGGUGUCUUUAUCUAAACAAGGCAGUCAGGAAAGCAAGGUAUGGAAUUAAUAGUAAGUAUCUGUAGGAAGAGGUGUUUCAGCAGUUGGAUCAUUAUUUUCAUAUUUAGGAGACCAGAGUAUAAGUCCAUUCUCUCGUGAGUGUGCCUACAGUGGGCAAGUGGUUUCACCUUUGUGUGCUUCAGCUCCUCAGUUCUGCAUUAAGGCUAAUAACAUUGCCUCAUUAUGGCUUGCUGUACGGGAAUACCAGCCUGAUGUAGUUUGAAGGAGAUGUCCACUAGGUGGGAAUCAUUGCAGCCGUGGCACUUAAUGUGUAUUUCUUAAGGCCCUGGACUGUGGCUCUAGCAAAGGCUGUGACACUUAUUCCACACUCCACUCAAUGAACUUUCACUUAACUGCUCAGAGAGGAUGCAGGGGAGGGAGGAAGUCCCAAGCUGUUGUGGUAGUUCUUUUUUAAGGGACUGGUGAAGAAGUCAGCGUGCAUUUGGAGCAGAGUGGUAAGGUGUUUGUUUUUUUGCUUGUUAUUCCCCCACGUCCUGAAGAUUAUUUGCCUGUGUGUACACAGUGGGAGAAGAUGCCCAACUGCGAUCCAAGCGUGAAUGAAACAGAGCUUGCACAGUUCAAAGCCGACACAGUCUCAAAUUCUUGCUCCUAGGGGAGGAAAAAAAAACAAAAACAACUUCCUUUAUUUUUUCCUUUACUAAUAAAUAAAUAAAUAAAUAUAAAAUCCCUCAUCUUCCUUUUAAAAAAUGAUUACAUUUAAAUCAUAUAAAUCAGUACACUUCCUCCAGGAGAGGAAGAGAGGGAUAUUCCUUUUCCCAAAGCCUGU